UUUUAACACCCAUGAGACGCAAGUAACCUGACUGGUGCCACGGGGGUCCUGUCCCCAGGCCCCCCCGCAGCAUCGACCAACCUGGCCGUAUUUACCAAGGGUUUGAGUACGAGCAUACCUGUUGGGACCCGAAAGAUGGUGAACUAUGCCUGAGCAGGGCGAAGCCAGAGGAAACUCUGGUGGAGGCUCGUAGAUGUGCUGACGUGCAAAUCGCUUUUCGGACUUGGGUAUAGGGGCGAAAGACUAAUCGAACCAUCUAGUAGCUGGUUCCCUCCGAAGUUUCCCCCAGGAUAGCUGGAGCUCAUGGUAUGCAGUUGUAUCGGGUAAAGCGAAUGAUUAGAGGUACCGGGGGCGCAACGCCUCCGACCUAUUCUCAAACUUUAAAUAGGUACGAAGUCUGGGUUGCUUGACUGAACCCAGGCCCUCAAUGCGAGCUCCAAGUGGGCCAUUUUUGGUAAGCAGAACUGGCGAUGCGGGAUGAACCGAAAGCUGA
rnacentral:rRNA from 1 species